AUGGCAAUAGUUCAACGAUGGGGUAAACCGGAUUAUUUUGUCACGAUGACAUGCAAUCCCUACUGGGAGGAGAUAACUACUGAAUUGUUGCCUGGACAGCUGCCACAAGACCGUCCAGACCUUGUGGCAAGAGUAUACAGAGCUAAACAACGAUCCAUGAUGGACUUACUGAUUAAGGGUAAGCAUUUUGGAGAAGUUGCAGCUUAUGUACAUGUCACUGAGUUUCAGAAACGAGGCCUC
rnacentral:rRNA from 1 species